GAUUAACGCUGGCGGCGUGCAUAACACAUGCAAGUCGAACGAUGAAACUUUUUUGAUUUCUUCGGAAUGAUUAAAAGUGGAUUAGUGGCGGACGGGUGAGUAACGCGUGAGUAACCUGCCUUAUAGAAGGGGAUAGCCUUUUGAAACGAAGAAUAAUACCCUAUGAAACCAUAACCUCGCAUGAGGAAUUGGUCAAAGAUUUAUCGCUCUAAGAUGGACUUGCGUCUGAUUAGUUAGUUGGUGGGGUAACGGCCCACCAAGACAGCGAUCAGUAGCCGGCUUGAGAGAGUGUACGGCAACAUUGGGACUGAGACACGGCCCAGACUCCUACGGGAGGCAGCAGUGGGGAAUUUUGCACAAUGGGGGAAACCCUGAUGCAGCGACGCCGCGUGAUUUAGAAGGCCUUCGGGUUGUAAAAAUCUUUUCUAUGGGAAGAAAAUGACAGUACCAUAGGAAUAAGGACCGGCUAAUUACGUG
rnacentral:rRNA from 1 species